rnacentral:lncRNA from 1 species
CACCACGUCCCCUGUGGCCUCCUCACCCUGCGCAGCCUCCUCCAUGGCGCCGCCGGGCAGCGAUGGCGGGCGGGCUCCUCCUGCCUCUCGGCGCUCUUUUUUCCUCGGUUUUUCCUCCUUUUUUCCCCUCACCGAUCCCCGCUUUUUCCUCUCGGCGAUUCCUGUUUCCUCUUUUUCUUGCCCUUUUCCUCAGCUUUUCACGCCUUUUCCUGUCAGU